rnacentral:siRNA from 1 species
CGAAACAGGUGUCGAUCGACA